rnacentral:rRNA from 1 species
UACGAAGGGGGCUAGCGUUGUUCGGAAUUACUGGGCGUAAAGCGAGCGUAGGUCGCUUAGCAAGUCAGUGGUGAAAGCCCAGAGCUCAACUCUGGAACUGCCAUUGAAACUGCUAAGCUGGAAUCUCAGAGGGGAUAGCGGAAUUCCAAAUGUAGAGGUGAAAUUCGUAGAUAUUUGGAGGAACACCGGUGGCGAAGGCGACUAUCUGGAUGAGUAUUGACACUGGGGCUCGAAAGUGUGGGGAUCAAACAGG